UACGAAGGGGGCUAGCGUUGCUCGGAAUCACUGGGCGUAAAGCGCACGUAGGCGGCUUUUUAAGUCAGGGGUGAAAUCCUGGAGCUCAACUCCAGAACUGCCUUUGAUACUGAGAGCUUGAGUCCGGGAGAGGUGAGUGGAACUGCGAGUGUAGAGGUGAAAUUCGUAGAUAUUCGCAAGAACACCAGUGGCGAAGGCGGCUCACUGGCCCGGUACUGACGCUGAGGUGCGAAAGCGUGGGAGCAACAGG
rnacentral:rRNA from 1 species